rnacentral:rRNA from 1 species
AGCGAACGCUGGCGGUAGGCCUAACACAUGCAAGUCGAACGGCAGCACAGUAAGAGCUUGCUCUUACGGGUGGCGAGUGGCGGACGGGUGAGGAAUACAUCGGAAUCUACUUUUUCGUGGGGGAUAACGUAGGGAAACUUACGCUAAUACCGCAUACGACCUACGGGUGAAAGCAGGGGAUCUUCGGACUUUGCGCGAUUGAAUGAGCCGAUGUCGGAUUAGCUAGUUGGCGGGGUAAAGGCCCACCAAGGCGACGAUCCGUAGCUGGUCUGAGAGGAUGAUCAGCCACACUGGAACUGAGACACGGUCCAGACUCCUACGGGAGGCAGCAGUGGGGAAUAUUGGACAAUGGGCGCAAGCCUGAUCCAGCCAUACCGCGUGGGUGAAGAAGGCCUUCGGGUUGUAAAGCCCUUUUGUUGGGAAAGAAAAGCAGCAGGUUAAUACCCCGCUGUUCUGACGGUACCCAAAGAAUAAGCACCGGCUAACUUCGUG